rnacentral:lncRNA from 1 species
UGCGUACAGGAGGAGAAUAUCAAAUAUAUUUCGCAUUGGCUGCACCACUAGAAGGACGAACAUUCCGUGUCCAGACACAGAGUGCGGUUUUAUUACACCAGACUGUGCUACACUGCACCAUGCCAUCGUUUAUUCUUCUAGCCACGAUCAUCAUAAUUGUUUUUCCAGCCUAUAACCAAAGCUCUCCGUGUUCUACUCAGGGCUUUAAGUGCGUGCCGGUGGGAAGUUGCCCGCGAAUAGGAAAAAGGAGUAUCAGCGGAUGUGGACAUGGCAUGGAGUGCUGCGCCCCAGUGCAGAGACCUUGUAACAUGGCACCAGGAGGAACUUGCCUGAAGAAAUGUAAGUGUUCUAAGGAAUACACCAAUUAUGCGUGCCCUCCCAAAUUGAAGUG